CGGACGUAAGAACUUAGCCUCACAGCUAGGGACAACAUUUAGGAAAGAAUGCUAAUACCUGAUAUUAUGAUUUUAAGGCAUCUUAGAAUUAUGAAAGCUAUAAGCACUGUGAGAGAGCUUUGCGUCCCAUUAGCUAGUUGGAGAGGUAACAGCUCACCAAGGCGAUGAUGGGUAGCCGGCCUGAGAGGGUGAACGGCCACAAGGGGACUGAGACACGGCCCUU
rnacentral:rRNA from 1 species